rnacentral:rRNA from 1 species
GUGGGGAAUAUUGGACAAUGGGCGAAAGCCUGAUCCAGCAAUGCCGCGUGAGUGAUGAAGGCCUUAGGGUUGUAAAGCUCUUUUACCAGGGAUGAUAAUGACAGUACCUGGAGAAUAAGCUCCGGCUAACUCCGUGCCAGCAGCCGCGGUAAUACGGAGGGAGCUAGCGUUGUUCGGAAUUACUGGGCGUAAAGCGCACGUAGGCGGUUACUCAAGUCAGAGGUGAAAGCCCGGGGCUCAACCCCGGAACUGCCUUUGAAACUAGGUAGCUAGAAUCCUGGAGAGGUGAGUGGAAUUCCGAGUGUAGAGGUGAAAUUCGUAGAUAUUCGGAAGAACACCAGUGGCGAAGGCGGCUCACUGGACAGGUAUUGACGCUGAGGUGCGAAAGCGUGGGGAGCAAACAGGAUUAGAUACCCUAGUAGUCC